CUGGUGUCAGCCGCCGCGGUAAUACCAGCACCCCGAGUGGUCGGGACGAUUAUUGGGCCUAAAGCAUCCGUAGCCGGCCCUGCAAGUCUUCCGUUAAAUCCAUCCGCUCAACGGAUGGGCCGCGGGAGAUACUACAGGGCUAGGAGGCGGGAGAGGCAAGCGGUACUCAGUGGGUAGGGGUAAAAUCCUCUGAUCCACUGAAGACCACCAGUGGCGAAGGCGGCUUGCCAGAACGCGCUCGACGGUGAGGGAUGAAAGCUGGGGGAGCAAACCGGAUUAGAGACCCGGGUAGUCCCAGCUGUAAACGAUGCAGACUCGGUGAUGGGUUGGCCUAGUGCUAGCCCAGUGCCGCAGGGAAGCCGUUAAGUCUGCCGCCUGGGGAGUACGGUCGCAAGACUGAAACUUAAAG
rnacentral:rRNA from 2 species